rnacentral:rRNA from 1 species
ACAUGUCUACAACAUAGCAUUAAUGUACCAAAUUCCAUUAGAACUCCACAAUUAAGCAUGCUCAGGAUAGAGUAGUACUGGGAUGGGUGACCGCCCAUGAAGUCCUAGUAUUUUACAUGCC